rnacentral:rRNA from 1 species
AGGACGAACGCUGGCGGCGCGCUUAACACAUGCAAGUCGAGCGAGAACCUUUCCUUCGGGAUUGGGGACAGCGGCGAACGGGUGAGUAACACGUGGGUAAUCUGCCCUUGACAUCGGGAUAGCCCGGGGAAACCCGGAUUAAUACCGAAUAGCCUCCGGAGCCCUCGGGCGCCGGAGAAAAGGUAGCUUCGGCCUCUGGUCAAGGAUGAGCCCGCGGCGGAUUAGCUUGUUGGCGGGGUAAUGGCCCACCAAGGCGACGAUCCGUAGCUGGUCUGAGAGGACGAUCAGCCACACUGGGACUGAGACACGGCCCAGACUCCUACGGGAGGCAGCAGUGGGGAAUCUUGCGCAAAUGCGGGAAACCGUGACGCAGCGACGCCGCGUGGGGGAAGAAGGCCUUCGGGUUGUAAACCGCUGUCGAAGGGGAGCAAAUUUGAGCGAUCCUUGGAGGAAGCACAGGCUAAAUUCGUGCCAGCAGCCGC